rnacentral:lncRNA from 1 species
AUUGUUUGGCCACAUUAGCCGUGGUUAGCAGGUGCUGCAGCCUUUGCCACUGUUAUUAUUUUUAAAGGGCAGAAAUGCCUGAAGGUGAAGACUUUGGACCAGGCAAAAGCUGGGAAGUUAUCAAUUCCAAACCAGAUGAAAGACCCAGGCUCAGCCACUGUAUUGCAGAAUCAUGGAUGAAUUUCAGCAUAUUUCUUCAAGAAAUGUCUCUUUUUAAACAGCAGAGCCCUGGCAAGGCAAGUUUUCCAGUAAAGGAGUAUGUUUUAAAAUGUUCAGUUACUUGGAAACAAAUGAACUAACCUAUUUUAUCAGCUUGUCAGAUUUCUCCAAUUUUAAAUAUAAUAUACUAAGAACAUAUGCCAUAAAAGCUGGUAUCAGCAAGGUUCAGAUGUGUGAGUGUGCGAACACUAGAUAAUCCUCAGCCUCACAUUGUGAAAUUGGAUUGGUUUUACAUUUUAUAUAUAUUUAUCUAGCUCAUUAGCUAAAAUGAAUGGUGAUUGGUCUUAUCAGCAAGACUAGGGAGAAAACAGUCUUAAGAAUUUCAGUUAUCGUAUUUAGCCUGGUGCUGAAGUCAAAGGGAGAUGA